rnacentral:lncRNA from 1 species
UUCAAAUGACGAUUUAGAUGAAAUUCAUCGUAAAUAUGGUUGUCUAUAUAAGGGAAUUGAACGAUUAAACCCGAAGGUCAUUCUGUUUUCAGGUGUUCUCCCACGAUGCCCGGAUUUAUAUCGAGAUUGUAACACGUAUCACCUACAAGAACUUAAUAGGAAGAUACUAAACAUAAAUUCAAGAUUUCUCGCAACAUACGAAGGUAAAGAUGGGUUUUUCUUUUGCAGCUCUUUUGACUAUUCUUGGAGUACUUGUUUAUCCAGAGACGGUUUACACCUAAAUCGGAGAGGUAAUCAGCAGCUGGGGAAAAUUUUUGUAAAAGAUAUCAGGAUAAGUUUGACUGUUGCAGAGUUGCAUGGUAGCUGAAUGAUCUCUUAUAUGGAUGGAUGCCAUGCCAGUAUAAGAAGAGAUUAAGUCCCAAUGGCAAUUGUUUUUGUGAUUGACUGUGCAAUAUAUUUGUAAAGCUUUCAGAAAAUAAUUGCUUUUAGGACAUAUAAAAAUAUGUUCCCCAUAUAGAAUUUAAAGAACAUCUGGUAAAGUUACAUUUGAAUUCUUGUUAAUUGUUAAAAAAGCAGAUGGUAUAUUUCACAGAAGAUGGAUGAUAUGUUUCACUUGUUUUUAUUCCAGAUUUCUGUUAUUUUCAAAUAUUGCAACUAUAAAUAUUCCUCAGAUUUAAGAAAUGUGGCCAGCACAUCUCUAACCAUUUUGAGACGUGGAAUUGACAGAAUAAUAACGAGCUUUAAGUGAACUAUCAGUAUCUAGUUGAUCAUUUAUAAAUGAAAUCUAAUUAAUUUGUUAACUUUAUGGCUCAGUCUUAAUUAUAAACACUAGUCAUUUUUUAGUAUUCAUUCCUCCCAUCAAAUAUAAAAAAAAAUAAUGAUACAUGAAGUCAUCCUGUGGUCAUAUAUGGUUUCGGAUUCACAAAUCAAUGACUUAAUCAUAUAUUUUUUUUAAAUCUUUAGAAUUCUCAAUAUAGUGUCAACUAUGUCAGUCCAUUUCUUUGUGUAGUUGCUAAAUUGUAUCCUUAAAAAUAACACAUAACAGUAACAUUUGGUGGAAGCAUUUUUAUUGGAAAAGUGAAAUAAAUAUGAAAUUAUGGACUAAGGCUAAUACAUUUAAUUGCUUCAUAAUGAAUUUAUUCUCAUAGCUUUUAGCACAAUUCCAAAAUACAUUUAACGCUUAUAAAUAUAAUAUGUUGUUCUCAAUCACGUACCUAUUUUAAAUACCAAAUUUCAGAAGUUUCUCUUGUCUUUUUACAAAAGCUUGUUCCAAGUGUUAAAAGUAUCACUUCCAGUGUAUUAAUAUUAAGAAAAAUCUAGUUGUUCCCAUUGAUAUAAAAGUCUUAAAUGCCAAAACUGGAAAGUAAGAAGAUGCAGAUUUGAUAUAGUAUGGAGAAAAACUGUAAAAUUAAAAAAGAUAUGAAUGGGUGCAUUAAAUACAAAGUAGUGGUUUUUGCUUAUUAUUAAAGCAAAAAGCAUUACUUUGUAUUUAAUGCAUCCAUUCAUAUCUUUUUUUAAAUUUAUCUUUUUUUAUACUAAGUUCCAAUACAGCUUGCAAAAGAAUUUUUUUCCAUUAAAAGAAAAAAAAAAGAUAAGACCGGAUUUUAACCAUAUUUAGGCAUAAAACUCUUGAAGCAGUUCUAAUUGAAAAGUUAAAUAUAAUGGGAAAAGAAACUUUAUUUAAAAAAUUCCAUAAUUUAGAGCUUAAUCUUACUAAGCAUGCUACCUAUAAAUAUUUAUAUUCAUUAUUUGUAAAGAAAUUAUAAGUAAUUUU